GGCGAACGGGUGAGUAACACGUGGGUAACCUGCCCAUAAGAGGGGGAUAACAUCCGGAAACGGGUGCUAAUACCGCAUAGUUUCUUGAUUGCAUGAUUGAGAAAGGAAAGACGGCCUUUGUGCUGUCGCUUAUGGAUGGACCCGCGGCGUAUUAGUUAGUUGGUGAGGUAACGGCUCACCAAGACGAUGAUACGUAGCCGACCUGAGAGGGUGAUCGGCCACAUUGGGACUGAGACACGGCCCAAACUCCUACGGGAGGCAGCAGUAGGGAAUCUUCCGCAAUGGACGAAAGUCUGACGGAGCAACGCCGCGUGAGUGAAAGAAGGUUUUCGGAUCGUAAAACUCUGUUGUCAGAGAAGAACAAGUUGGAGAGUAACUGCUCCAGCCUUGACGGUAUCUGACCAGAAAGCCACGGCUAACUACGUGCCAGCCGCCGC
rnacentral:rRNA from 1 species